AUUUAAAUAGUUUAAUAAAAAUGUUGGUUUGUGGUGCCAAAGAUAUAAUAUUAUUAUUUUAGAUC
rnacentral:tRNA from 1 species